UUGGAAGGUUGGGCGCCUCGUAGUUCGGAGGCGGCUAGGGGGAAGAUUAGCUCUUCCUGUCUCUGCUUUCCCUGAUUGCGUCUGCGUUUCCAGUUUGCCUUUGGGUCGGGAGUGCCCCCACUCUGUGGAUUAGGAAAUUGAGGCCCAAAGGGAGGGGAAGUAGUUUAAAUCUGUGGGAAAGCGAAAUCUCCUAAGCCUCAGGCCAAGAGUAGCCCGAGGGCUUUUCUGUUCAGAGAGAAAAGGGUGCAGCUUAAAGACCAAAAAAAUGAGGCGGGGGCUUCGUAGGCCCGGAGUGUGUAAGGCCGGGGGCCGAGAAGCUUCUGUGGCGGGGAGGAUGACCUCUGACCCCCUUUCUGUAAUUCACCAGUUUGUUGGCUAGAGCUUCCCCAGCGAGACCAGCUUGGAAUUGUGAUCCCUCCGGCUUCGGUCAUUGUUAGGCCGCGUUUAGAUGGCCUUGCCCGCGGUGCAUGCCGAGUGUGGUGUGACGAUUUUUGAGUUCUUAGAAACGGUUGGGGGCCUUUGGAGGGAACUUUUUCGCUAAGAGCCUCACCUGGGCGUCUUUGCUGGGAACGCUUUGUGAUCUGGGGAUAGGGGUCACUGGCCUACCUCUUGUCAUCCCUAUCUGAAUUAGGCAUCUUCUGUCAUUUCCAGAGUCGGCUCCCCUUAGCACCGUCCUGGCGUUUGCUGAAUGAAUGGGGGCCGAUGAGGAAAUCAAGAUCAAGAGAAUUAACUGACUUACCCAAGAUCUUAUAAGUAGUAAGCAGUUCAGAUAGUAUUUGAACCCAGAUGCCUUCUAAAUCCAGAUUCAUCACACUUCACUGCAGAGCUCUUCCAGAAAAAUGUGAUGUUCCAGGGCUGCUUGAUAGCAGAACAUUGUCAUCUGCAGAAGAGGCAUCUGAAGAGUAUCACUAUAUAAAAGACCCUUUUUCAUCUUGGAUGUUUCUGGGUUUCCUCUGUCACAAGGAUAAACACCUUUGAGAAGCUUAUAUUCCUUUGAUGUUUACAAUCAGAGAGUCAUUUGGACAGGGUAAUUUUUAUGUCUUUUAGAGAAUUUUGAGUGAUUUUUGAGGUGUUGAUAGCAGGCACAUCAUUGUAAAAGAAACUUUAAAGAUAUUUUGCUCAACUGAAUAAAAGGAAUUUUUUAUAAUCUAUCAAUAAUAAACAUAUUAUUCAGUAAGUUAUGAAAUGGUAAAUAUUUGACCCAUCAAUUAAGAAAAAAUUUUUUCUCAACUAAUACUAUCAUUGAGAAUGCCUUCAAUUCACAUAAAUACAUUAUAAAACUUAGAGAGUAGACGUUAGUAGUUGCUGAUAUUUUCUUUUCCCAUUUUUUGAUAUUAAGGUCUGGGGUUUUUCCCAUUUUCCCCCUUUUCAUUUAUCUUCCUUUACAUAUAUAAUCUCUUCAUCCCUCAUCACUCUCAGGUUAUUUCCUUUGGCAUGGAUUUCUCUCAUAUAUACUUGGUCCAUUCUGGUUACUUUGCUCAUCUUUAUUCUCCUUGGUGUCAUUUCUGCCUGUCCAAUAAGCUUGUCUAAGACUAUGAUAGUAGAAACCACAUUGGAAAUUCCAUCGAUCUUGAUGGCCAAAACAUGCUAUUUUAGUAUUCUUUACCAAAUCUGUUUUUCUUCUUUUUCCUCCCUUUUUGGUCCUUUUUAAAAUAUUUGUGGGCUACAUGCUGCAUAUGCUAAGAGAGAUGUAACUCCCAAUAGAAUGCUGAGAACAAUGGUGCAUCCUGCCAUAAGGGACUUAGUUUGAGUUGGUUCCAGAUUCUCUUUGGGAGAAUUAUGUGGUAAAAGCUCUAGGGAGGAGGUAUAAAGAGAAAGAUUUUGAUAUAUAACAUGCAUGAGAAGAUGGUCACAUCAUUUCUGUGGACUUGCAUGAAAUUCUAAAGAUUACUAAGGGAGUCUCCUCACUUAGUAUUUAUUCCCUUAUUAUCACUUAAUAUCCCCUACGUGAGAUUGUUCUCUUUAGUCUUGGUUGGGCUAAGAUCUUUUCUUUGAGAUAAAAAUCACAAUUGCUCUUGUUAAAUAGCCUAGAAGAUAGAGCACUACACUUUAAAAAAGACCUGAAUUCAGAUCUGUCUCUAAUACUUACCUGUUAGGUAAUUCUGGGCAAAUCAUUUGAAUUCUGUCUGCCUCUAUAAAAUAGGAUAAUAUGACCAGUUCUUUUCUUCUCCCCCUUCCUUCAGCCAGGGUUAUGGUGAGGAUAAAAUAUUAAGUGCUUCAAAAACUUUAAGCCAUAUAAAAAUUCCAGCUAUUUUUAUUCUUUGGUAAUCUAUAUAACUUCUCUGAUUUCUGUUUUAUUUUUGACUUGGAUAAGUAAUUUUACUUACUAUUUUCUGUUUCUGAUAGUCUUUUAGGUAGCCAAUGUUUGAUGGGAAGGGGCCAAGCUGGUAAAUAUAAGCUAAGUGCUCCCUUCCUACUUAAAAGUAAUCAGAGAAGUGACUUUUGUUUUGUUUUGUUUUUCCUAUUGUACCCCUAUAUAAGAUAUUUAAGUGGUUGCACAGAUUGAAUUCUAGGCCAAAUCGCUAUAGAAGACUGGAGAAGAGAUUGUCCAGCUUCAACUAUUCCAGAAUUGGCUUCUUCCCACAGUUAGCAUGUUUAUCUUGGACUUUCUCUUCUUUUUCUGUAUAGUUAUGUUUGUUGAUCUUAUCAGGAUUCAGUUAUAAUCUCUUUUUGUCUAGCCCUAACCUCUCUCCUAAUUUCAGUAUCACAUCUCUGUCUAUCACACAUUGCAAACUGGAUAUCUCAUAAGCAACUUAAAUUCACAUAAAAUUGAACUAUCUUCCUAGACUUACUUCUUCCUAAUUUUUCCAUUACUGUUCAUGAUAUUACUAUACUCCCAGUUACAGAAUCUUGUUGUCAUCUUCAGCACUUCUCUUUCUCAAACCCACCCCAAUAUCCAAAUUGUUGCCAAGUUCUGUAAGCUCUACCUUUAUGAUGUCUCUUGUAUAUUCCCCCUUCCCUUCUCUGACACAGCCACCAUGAUGACACAAAAGUUUCAUCAUCUCAUAUCUGAACUAUUGCAAUAGCCUGCUCUAUUGGGUCUGCCUGUCACAAGGCUCUCCUUACUCUGGUUCAUCUUCCAUUUAGCUGUCAAAUGGAUUUUCCUAAAAUACAAGUAUAAUUAUAUCACCAUCCUAUUCAUAAAUUUCAGUGGUUUCCUAUUAUCUUUAGGAUCAAGCAUGAAAUCUUUAUUUUAGUUUUUAAAGCCCUUCCUACCUUUCCAGCAUUCUUACAUUUUACUCUCUUUCAUGUACUUCUCUGAUUUCUGUUUUAUUUUUAACUCGGAUAAGUAAUUUUACUUAUCUUUAAUUUAAUGGAUAAGUAAUUUUACUUACUUUACUUAAUCCAGAAACAUUGGCUUUGCUAUUCCUUGUACAAAAUUUUCCAUCUCCCAACUCUUGGGCAUUUUCUCUCAUAAUCCCUCAUGCCUGGAAUUGUGUCCUUUCUAUCUCCAUUUCUUGGUUUCUUUGGCUUCCUUUAAGCCUCUGAUAAUUUCCUACUUUCUAUAUGAAUCUUUCCCAAUCAUCCUUAAACUUAGGGCUUUCCCUCUACAGUUCAUCAUAAGUGUGUGUAUUAUGUAUGUGUGUGUGUAUAUGUGUGUGUGUGUAUAUAUGUGUGUGUGUAUAUGUAUGGGUAUGUGUAUAUCCACAUAUAUGUAGAUAAUACUGAUAUGUUGUCUCCCUAUAUUAAGUUGUAAGCUCUUUGAUGGAAGUGACUGAUUUUUUUCUUUGCCUUUUUUUGUAUCUCCAAUGUUUAGUACACUAACUGGCAUACAGUAAGCACUUAAUAAAUGCUUGUUGAUUCUUCACAAAUGCAAGUUAGGCCAUAUAGAUUCAUCAUAUAUGGCACCAUAAAGCUUUCUAUUUAUUUAAAUAAUCCACACACGUAUCUUCCAUGUAAAUAUAUAUAACUUCAUAUUUAGUGGAAUCUUUUCCCAAGCUUGCUUUAAACUGGUUUUUUUUCUCCCUUAUUUCUCCCAGCUUAAUGAGUUGAUAUUCCUUAUAUUCAUCCUUUUUGCAAACAAGUUUCAUAUUUUAAAUUGUAGUUGCCUUUGGUUAUCAUUUCUUUCUACAUGUCAAAUAAGCAAAUAAUUCACCUAAGGUGCUUUUGGUGAUCUUGUCACAGUAGAUUUACAAUGGUUAAUCUUCCAUAUUAUUGAAAUUCAUAUCAAUGUUAUAUGAUGUCCAUUCCCCAUUUUUCACUGUUGAUUACUUGUUUAAAUGCUCAAGAAAAAGUCAUUUUAGAUUGUGUGUAAUUUCUUUUUUCCUUCAUUAUUGUUCUUGUUUUCUGUUUAAAAAAAAAAAAAAAGACUCAUUUUUUUGAGAUACUAUUUAGUGUUCUCCAUGUCUAACACAUGUCAAUAUUUUCAAAAAAGCUAUCAUAUAAAAUUUUGAGGUUUCUGUGUAAUCUAUGGGUUGGAACCUUUCUCAUUUCUUUCUUUUGAACUAUGUUUCCUAUGUAUUUCUUCCCAACUUUAGCUUUUCUUACCUUUCUUCACCAAGUCAUCAUAUUUCUUCAUCAGAGCAUAAUUUGGACUGUCAAACUGAUUUCUUCAUAAAGUUCUCUCUGCUUCAUAAUUAGCAACUAAUAUUGAUACAUAGCCUCUUUCCUACUUUUCCUAGGCUCUAAAAAAGUGGUGGACCUUGUUUUUGUCAAAGCCAUCCUCUUUACAUAUGCAUUUGACUGAAUUCCCUCCCAUCUUCUCUAGUAGAUUUCAUUCUCAAUCAUCUCCCCUCUCCUGAAUCUUCAGUCUAUCAUUUGGUUCCUUCCCUACUAACUUAAAAUAUACUUGUCUCCAUCUUUAAAAAAUUUUCAAGUAGUUCCUACCAUCUUUUCUACUUACCUGUCUAUAUUUCUUCUGCCUUUCUCAACAAAACUUCUUAAAAAGUUGUAUACACCUGCUACCUUUCCUCUUGUUUCUUUGCAUUUUGGUUUUUGACCUUAACUCUCAACUGAAACUUCUUUGUAAAAAGUUAUAAAUUAGGAGAUCAUAAACGCCAUAUCUAAUGGUCUUUUCUCAGUUCUAAUCCUUCCUAACCUAUCUGCUGUAUCUGACAUUGUUGACUACUCUCUUUUACUCUUUCUGUAUAAUUUUUUCUUCCCUGGACAUUCAUGACACAACUUUCUUCUAGUCUACAAAAUUGACCAUACUUCAGUUUCUUUUGAUGGCUUAUCAUCCACAUCACUCCUCCUUAAAUCUUGAUAUUUCUCACAGUCCUGGGUCCUUUUAAGUCUCAUCUCUGUAGAUGACUCCUAGAUUUAUAUAUCUAGCCCUAGUUCUCUUCUCUGUAUUUCAAUUUCAGAUCACCAGUUGCCUAUUGGAUAUUUCAAAUUAGAUGUCCUGGAGACAUCUUAAGCUCAACAUGUCUAAAAUUGAGCUCAUCACCUUUUCCCCUAACCUUUCCCUCUUAUCAACUUCCCUCCUUUGGUUGAAGGGACCACCAAUCAUUUUAAUGUUUCAGAUUCAUAAUUUCAGGAUUAUUCUGUAGCCUGUUCUGUAGCCUCUUCCCACAUAUCCAAUCCGAUUUCAGAGCUUUCUAUUUCUGUUUCACAAUGCCUCAUCCCAUUUUUCUGUUCAUAUAGUUGCCAUCUGAGUUCAGACCUUCAUUACUUCUUGCCUAGAUGAUUGCAAUAGCCUCCUAAUUGUUCUAUCUCAAGUCUCUCCUUACUCCAGUAUUUCUACACACUUCUGUCAAAGUAAUUUCCCUUAAAUAUAUUUAUGACCAUGUAACUAUCCUAUUCAGCCAACUCCAGUACCUUCCUCUCGCCUCUAAGAUAAAAUAUAAACUCUUUUUAGCCUUUGAAGCCCUUUUUAACUUUGCCCCAACCUCUCUAUCCAACCUCACAGAAUGUUACUCUCCUUCUUGUCCACUCAAGACAAGACUUAGUCCACCCAAACUAACUUCUUUUUCUCAUCUACAAUGCUCUCAUCUUUGUGUCUUUUUAAUGGCUAACUCCCCUGCCUAAAAUGGCCUCCUUCCUAAUCCUCCUCAUGAAAAAGGUAGGGUGAAGGAAAUUUAGCCACAAUCUCCAUGAAGUCUUUCGUGAUCCCCUCAACUACCAGUGUCCUUCCUCCCAAAUUAUUAUUUUUUUUAAUAAUACUCUGUAUGUAUGUGUAUUUGUGUGUAUGUGCAGUAUAUUUAUCAACUUCAUAUUUAUGGUCUCUAUUAGAAAGUAAGAACAUUACAACUAGGAAUUUUUAAAUUUUUUGUAUUUUUAUCCAUAGUACCCAGAACAGAGACUAGGCCUUAAUAAAUACUUGUUGGUUGAUUGAAUUUUAUUCAUACUGAUUUUUUUUGCAAGUAUUUAUCUGUAUUGCAAUAGGAGAACCAUAUUUUCCUUAAAGUAAUGUUUCUUGUUGCUUUUGGCCUUAAAAUAAAGAAACUGCCAAUUCCUUUUUAGGGUCUCCAAGGAAUAUCUGUAACCUGUCUUUCCAUUUAAUUAGAAUUUCCUUCUUUCUUUUAGUUCAUUUAUAGCAAAAAAAUGUCA